CCAGACUCCUACGGGAGGCAGCAGUGGGGGAUAUUGGACAAUGGGGGAAACCCUGAUCCAGCGACGCCGCGUGAGUGAAGAAGUAUUUCGGUAUGUAAAGCUCUGUCAGCAGGGAAGAAAGAAAUGACGGUACCUGACCAAGAAGCCCCGGCUAACUACGUGCCAGCAGCCGCGGUAAUACGUAGGGGGCAAGCGUUAUCCGGAUUUACUGGGUGUAAAGGGAGCGUAGACGGCAUGGCAAGUCUGAAGUGAAAGCCCGGGGCUCAACCGCGGGACUGCUUUGGAAACUGUUAAGCUGGAGUGCAGGAGAGGUAAGUGGAAUUCCUAGUGUAGCGGUGAAAUGCGUAGAUAUUAGGAGGAACACCAGUGGCGAAGGCGGCUUGCUGGACAGUAACUGACGUUGAGGCUCGAAAGCGUGGGGAGCAAACAGGAUUAGAUACCCGAGUU
rnacentral:rRNA from 1 species